GCUACGGCCAUAUCAGCCUGGGUACGCCUGAUCUCGUCUGAUCUCGGAAGCUAAGCAGGGUCGGGCCUGGUUAGUACUUGGAUGGGAGACCGCCUGGGAAUACCAGGUGCUGUAAGCA
rnacentral:rRNA from 1 species